AGGGACACAAAGAGAUAUAUCUAUUUUCAGUGAAUAACACAAAAUGUUUGUCAAACUGCUAAUUUUCUUCACAAUCUUCGCUCUGGCAGUGGCUCUACCCCAGUACUAUGGCUAUGGGGGUGGUUACGGUGGCUACACGUCGUCCGGCUACCCUGGCUACUACGGCGGUUAUUCUGGCUACAGUCCUCUCAGUUAUGGCUACGGAACUUACGGCGCUUCCCCUUAUUAUGGAUAUG